AAAACAUUCGCGAAUACAAGUUAACCGAAAAUUGGAGUUCGAUGAGAUCUGUAAUACAUUUAGAGUUUUAUAUGUUUUAAAAAAAAAAACUUUUAAAAUCGGGACAUUUUAUGAGGCGUGAGUUUUUCCCGCGAAAAUUCGUUUUCGUCUACCUUCCACCUAGACAGGUAUCGGGUAAUAGGAAAACUUUUUACACAUUCGAUGGCUGUUAAAAUGUUA